AACGGCGUAGCUCAGUAAGGUAGAGCAGCAGUCAGAGCGCUGAAGGUCGACGGUUCGACUCCGUCCGCCGUUCC
rnacentral:tRNA from 1 species